AUUGAACGCUGGCGGCAGGCCUAACACAUGCAAGUCGAGCGAGCGGCGGACGUGUGAGUAAUGUAUGUGGAUCUGCCCGGUAGAGGGGGAUCACUACUGGAAACGGUCGCUAAUACCGCAUACUAUCGGAUGAACCCAUAUGGGAUUAGCUAGUAGGUGGGGUAAAGGCUCACCUAGGCGACGAUCCCUAGCUGGUCUGAGAGGAUGAUCAGCCACACUGGUACUGAGACACGGUCCAGACUCCUACGGGAGGCAGCAGUGGGGAAUAUUGCACAAUGGGCGAAAGCCUGAUGCAGCCAUGCCGCGUGUAUGAAGAAGGCCUUCGGGUUGUAAAGUACUUUCAGUGGGGAGGCGUUACCCGCAGAAUAAGCACCGGCUAACUCCGUGCCAGCAGCCGCGGUAAUAC
rnacentral:rRNA from 1 species